ensembl:lincRNA
GCCAGCACCCCGGCCAGGCUCCCCGGGGGCCGCCCAGAGCAAGCCCCCUCUAGCCAAUGCCCCCGGAGCCGUGCCACCGCCCCGAAACCCAGCCCUAGGUCCCAGCAGCCACCAAGCCCCAGGCAGGCCACCCGGCCUCCCCCAGCCUCAGUUUCCCCAUUGGUACCCGGGCUGGGGUCUCAGCUCCGGCCACUCGGGGCUGCCGUGAUGACACAGUGAGGGACGCUCAGCCUGGCCACGAUGAGGGCCCAUCACCACACCCCACCCAGACUGCCACAAACCCACGGGUCUCACCCGCGCAAAUCCCGCACAGAGAGGAGCGGCCACCCAAGCCGGGUCUGUGGGCCUGAGGCUCUAACAGGGGCGCUUCCACCUGGAGAUUGAUUAGACUCUAGGGGCCUCUUCUGCAGGCACCAGGCUGUGGCCGCGUGGCCAGCCAGUCCGCCCGGGGUCUCUCCUUUGGACCUUUAUGUGGCCCAGAACUGAGGCGAUGACCACCCGGCUGUCCCCCUGCAGGGUGGGCCAGCAGGCUGUGAGUGUGGGCAGGGUCCCCGGGCAAGCAGAGCCAGCUCUGGGGGCAGAAGGGACGGCGUGCAGGGACCGAGGCCGGGCCGCCGCGGCCGGAGUUUGCUCAGGGGCCCCGGGGCGUCUGCCCUGGCUUCCAGGCCUUCCCGCGGAUGGAGCUCCCACUGCACCCCGGCUGCCUGGAGUGCGUUUUGUUUCAACACCGCUUUAUGGCUGCGGGUCCGCAUGGGGCUCAAGACCCAAGAGAGCAGCCAGGUCCAAACCAGGCCCUUCCGGGAGGGAGCCCAGUGCCACGAGGUUUGGCAACAUCGCGGCCAUGCUGAGGCCAGCACCUGCGUGUCCGAUGCCUGCUCACACCUGCGUGGAGCCCAGGGCUGUGAUGUGCCGUGCAGCCCACCAGAGCACCUCUCACAGUUCGGAGAACAUCCAUCCGGCAGGAACCCUAGGCCAGGCCUGUCCAGCCGAGGAGGGUGUUGGGCCUACGUGUGGCUUCGCCAAUACGCCAGACUCUGAUAAGCUGCCGGCAGAUUCCAAGUUCAUCGGACAACGCGAUCUGGGGAGGAGCAAGGGACGCUGGAGAAUCACAAAUACUGUCCAAGACUGGCUCUUGGUGGCUUUCCUUUCACCCCCACCCCCGUGAGGACCCUUCUUCCUCCAGUCCGCUUCCGUCCUGCGACCCACCCCCCAGCAGACAACGGCCAGCCAGGCUUGGCCCCAGCGAGGCUGCAUCUAGCCCACGGUCCAAAGCCUGGCUGCCUUUCUGCUAUGUGCCAACAGGCCCCUGCAAGCGGCCUUUCAGAAGAAAUCACAGAGGGGGAGAAAAUGAACUUGUGAAAGUUUAAACGCCAAUCAGUAAAGAAAGCCAGACAUUCCCACUGAAAUUCCCCAAGAAUCACAGGUCAAGGAACUCUUUUUUUUCUUUUUUUUUCUUUUUCUGUACAUCUUGUCCCUGACUGAGUUCUCAGGGCCUGCGAUGCUGAGCCACCGGGACACCAGUCGGCCCUGAAAAUAAAUAUUUCAUAUAAAAGGUCCAUUGUCUUUGCUGGGAGACAAUUGUUGCUUUUUCUCUCCUCGGCUCCGUAACAUCAGCAAGCAGGGCCGAUGCCAUCUGGGGUUCUUUCUUGUUCCGACAAGAUGUUUUGAGAAAGGGCAAUCUUGCUGGGUCUUCCCGGAUGACCAGUUAAGAGAUAAAGCUCUCUUAAAGCAAGCAUCUUGGUAAAGGCACGUUCGUAUGGGGUCAAAGAACAAUUAGCUUGUCAGAGUGAUGAGGCCCCAUCAAACUGCCCACCUGAAUUGCAGACAAGGAUGACGAGUGGCUGGCGUGGGCACCCUGGACGCCUGGGUCAGGACGUCUUCCCUUGUCUCUCCCUGGUCAGCACCCCCGGGGUCGGCUCCCUAGUGAGUGCCAUCCUUGAGGAGAUUCCACUCCUAAAAGGUGCCUAGGAAGAGGCACCUCCUCCGUGAGCACGUGCCUAAGCCAAGUCUCCAUGACGAGGAAGGCGCUGGCUCGGAAGCUCCUGGUCGUCUACCUUGAAAUCACCAAGGUUCACCCGCACUACCACCUGGGCAGGGCAGGGAGGGGUGUGUCAUGAACACCCAGGUGUCCUUUCCAAUGAAACCAAAACUAGCUUCCCUGUUUCUUAGAAGAUCAAAAAUAUAACAACCACCAGCAAUAAAAAUGGCGAUUACCAUUUACAACGAAAACAAUUACGACGACAGCCAUUUAUGGAGUCCCUGUCACGUGCCCCAACUGGGGUUUGUAGAAAUAACCGCGUCUGAACCUUCCCAAGGACCCUCCGAGGCCUGGGCUCUUUCUCCUGAUCGAGAGCGUAGGCUGCGGUCCUGGGAGGGACAGGACUUGUCCAGGGUCCCACGGCGAGCCAGGGGCAGGGGACCGGGUUGGAGUGGCCCGGCCGUGAGCUAGGACACCCACACUUGGCAGGAUUACUGCAGGGGCGGCUCUGUGCUCCCUAACAAGCAGAAACACCCUCCCAGCCUGAGAACAGCCUGGCCUGAUGGUUUGAAGAUGUUUCCUUGCCUGGUCUGUGGGGCUUCCUUCCUUCCCCGAGCGCUGUCCCUCACCGAGGGCACACGUUGGUCACCCUGGACACCAGAGAGCCCCUCAGGGUGGGCAGAGCCCUCAAGCCCCUCCCUGGGCCCCACGGGACGCCUUCCUGUCAGGCCUCGUCCACGCCGGGAUGAAGAUGGAAGCAAGUGAGACCCCUUCACAGCAUCGACCACAGCUGGGUGCAAACUCCAGGGACCCGAACGUCCCCCAUGUGGCAAAGCUCCCCGCUGGUCCCGCUGAGCAGAGCAAGAUGCUGUCUGUACCUGUUUAGGCGGCAGGGGAGACCUGAACCCGCACCCUGGAGACCCCCUGGGCCAGAAGUGGCCAGAGGUGGGGCACGGCAAAGACUCAGCGCAGUCCAGGGGGCACCCUGGGCCUGGCCCUGGUUGUAAACAAAAACAGGAGUGGCAGGGCACCCUCCCACCAGCCCGCCGCAGUCCUUAAGACCCUGCCCCUGCUUAGCACACUCUUUCCCCGAAACCCCAUGAGAAAAACCAGGCAGGCACCACAUCCAUUUUCCGAACUUUGUGUCAUGUACACAUCCUCAAAAAUGCAUUUUCUCCAGAUGAGACUGUCCCGCAUGGUGAGAAGACCUCCCCGCAUGGUGAGAAGACCUCCCUACGUAGUAAGAAGCCCCUGGCCGGGACUCGGGUCUCCACGAGGAGUCUCCAGGGUGUCGGGCUGGCCCUAAGGACAAGGACAAAGGCAGGACAGGAUGGCGCGGUGCCGAGGCAGAGCCUCCCUCCACGGGGCCGACCCGGCUGUGGCUGUUGGCUGUGGCCUCUCAGCCCCAAUACAUCCCCUGUGCCGGGGGAGGGGAGGGGGGCGGUGCUGGGCCCCUGGAGCCGGAUGAACAGUAGCCCCCAGCUGAGUGGCCCUGGGGGUGCCUCCUCGCAUGUUCAGGCCUCUCUGUACUCCUGGUGUCUGGCCCGUGGGCUCUCAGAGGGAGCAACCAACGCCCCUUAUUUUGGGGUCUGCUUUAACCCCGGGGGAUGCCCAACAGUCUAAGCAGAAGGCCACAUCAUGCCUGCCCAUCGUGCGCUACACUACAGGUCAUCUGUGGACCCAGGAGAAUGUCUCCUGCAUUUUACAAGCAAGGCCCCAGCGGAGCCCGGGCUUUUUGUAAUUACUAACCCAUCGCUGCCAACACCAUGGCCAGUGUCAGCUCCUGGCCAGAGGGGCAAGCCACCCGCCAUUUCUGAGGCCACUCCCCAGUGUCUCUUCCCGUGUUUCAAGUCUACUAGCUGCCUCUGAUAAAGUCAUAAAGACAAAUUCAAAACAGGGCACUGGGGUAAGGGGCGAUGGCCUAGCUAAAAAGAUGGCGAGGAUGGCUCUACAGUAGUUCACAGAAGCAAACCUUCAGCCUUGGGGCCAGGUGAGCAGGACCUUACUGAAACCGUCUCUUCGUUCCUCUGGGUUCUCCUCUCGGUUCUGGAAACCAGGCAGCCCUGGGAGAGGGAGGCAUUAGGCAGGCCUGGGCUACGCAGGCCUCUGUCCACGUUCCCGGAAACAUGGCCUCUGAGCACCAGCUCACAGCACUGGGGAGUUAUGGAAACAGGCCCCCCCUCCCCAUUAUGUUGUGGUCAAAGCACCCCGCAAGGUUGUCCAAACCACAUCAAUAAGAUGAGGCAGAGUAAAGGGGAAAUCGCACCUGUGAUACGAUCAUAUUAAAAAGCGGGUUUAAUCUCCCAGUUAUGGGUUUCAUUUUAACAGGGUAAGUAACACGCAAACAUGCUUUUUAAAAAUCCCAAACAGCUAAAAGCAACGAACUAAAAUAAAAUGAACAUAGUGCUGGCCUACAGAGACGGUCGUGGCCUCUGAAGCCCAACUUUGAAGAAAUUAAUUUCAGCGUUACCUUAAAACCCUGUAAUUACGGCAAACAUGCAUUCCUUUACCCCUUUCUUGCUCCCCACAAAUUCCCCAGGGCUGUGGGCUGGGCCUGUGUGUGACCCAUCUAUAAAGAGGGAUUUAUUAUGAAAAAUUAUGAGUUGUUUUUGUUUUAUGCCACCAUAAACAACAGCAUCCACACACGGGGCUUUCACUCCAAGGGCCAGAGCGGCCAGUCCUUGACCCAGGGCCGCCCUAAACCAGCUCUCCAUAAAUGCCUGACCAGCAGGGAAAAAAAAAAUAAGCAGCACUGAUGGUUUAGGAAGUGAAUGAAAGAUUUCAGUUUUUCAAGAAAGGGCUGUGGCUUCCAAACAACCUUUCAGAACACGUCUGAUCUAAAAACUGUUUUCUCUUUUCCUCAUGUUCCAUUUAGGAGGCCUGCUAUUUGACGUGUUCAACCAAAUUCUCUCUGGCAAAUGGCCGGCACACAUCUGAGAUUAAAAGCUGUAUUUCACAAAUUCCAAGUUCCAAAAUUUUAACGACGGCCAUGGAGUUGCUGCAAGCUGGGGCAGCUUCGGGUCCAAGAUCAACCUUCCUUCCCAGGUCCCCGGGUCUGCGGAAGGCCUGCCCUACAAAAGGGCUCUUCUUAGAAAUCCUUUCAUCAAUAUUUAAAUAUUCACUAAGUAGCGAAAGUGAGAAAUGCACUUACCAUCCUCAAGUGUCGCCUUGAACCCGACCGAGCCUGGGGCGCGCUGGUCGGCAGCUCUGCCCUUGCCGGAGGAUCGCGCUCGGACGCAGCCCGCACGGCCCUCGCACCCACGGCUGCACAGGCCCUGGCCCAUCGGUCCGAGUCCUGGCUUCCAAAAUGAUUCUCCCCUUCACGCGGCGACAGGGGCAGAGAGCAAAGCAGUGCCAUCUCCCACAACUCUUCCCAGGGCGGGACAGCUCCGGGACGGCGCGGGCGAAGCGCACGGCCAGGCCCCACUCCCCGGGUCCCGCACCGCGCCUCCGACCGCGCCGCUCGUCCUCUUCUCGCUCCGGCUUCCCCGGGUUGAACGAUCGGACCAACCCGCAGAGUGACCCGCAGGACACGGUCUCCACGUCCGCGACCUGCGCCGCGAGGGACCUUUGUCCGGGGCGAAAACGAAAGCGCGCGGGGCCGGGGGCGCCCACGCCCUGCCGCGGAGGUCCGCGCCAGCGCGCCCGGCGACUUUCUCCAAGUUCACGUGCAUCCCGGGGCAGGCGGGCGAGCGCCGUGGGCCCAAACUUCCAGCGCCCGGCCGUCGGGCGCGCUGCGGGGCGCGGGCGG